GCUUUGAUUAGGGAGCAAUUUGAUGAAGCUACUCAGGAUUAAGGAAUAUAAAGGAUGAAAUUUGAUAAACUAAGCAGGCUUGUUAUCAUCUUUGGGGUUCCUUUCCAGUACACAUUAAACAGAAUAUUGCUUGCAAGACUGGAGGACCUAAGGGAGACUUUCCAGAUCAGACUUAAGCACAAACAUGGCCAUUCACAUAGCAAUGGGAAU